GGGAUUAAAGUAUAAUUUAUGUAAUGUAGCCCAAAAUAUAGAUAAACACUAAAAUAAGAUAAAAGCAAGUAAUAAGCUAAGGAUAAGCUAAUUUUUCCUGUAAAAUGAACCUUGGAUAUAUAAUGGUAAGAAUUACCGUCAUCAGUUACUCAUAACUAGGGAUGACAACGGGUCGGGUCGAGUAUGGGUAAUGCCUACCCACAACCCGAUCCGCAUACAAAAAAUCAUACUCACUACCCG
rnacentral:lncRNA from 1 species